UCUUCCUCCCGUCUGCGGCCACCCCCGCGCGAUGGAACUUGCCCCUGUUCUACGAUUUCUGUCUUGAUCCCCCUCUGUUGUGGAGUUUCUGAUAGAUCUAUCUCGAUCAUUCCCUUACAAUCCGACGACAUCUCCAUCGACGAUGCAUCAGCUAUCUCAUUCAAACUCCGGUGAUCUUCUCCCUGCGAUUCUGUUUCAAAAUUUUUCAGAUCCAUUCUCGAUUGCCCGAUAUGGGGAGAUAUAACCGAUCCUGAGAAGAGAUUUUUGGAUGGAGUGUGUUGAUCCCUCUCCCUCUCUCUCUCUCUAGGUGGAUCAUCGCACACGAGCAGUUCGAUGCCGGCAGAGGAUCCGUCAUCGGCCAAAUCACGGUCCGUCUUCACUCAGCAACUAAGUUCCGCGGAUUAGAAGAGCGAAAGGCCGAAGAACUCCGAGCAUAGCUGACGAUCUUCCAAUCUCCGGAAUCACCGCGUUCAUGUCGACUGCAAUCGAGCAUGUUGACUGCAUUCACAUGAAUCUGUAAUGAAAUCUAUACGAGCAAACUACCCUCCGUGCUGGUCAUUUCAGUAGGACAUUCCGAUCCUUUUCGCUUGACAUCACAUCCUCAAGAUUCCUCUGUUUUUUUCAUGCCGUUUUGAAAAUUAAAAUAGUCAAUUUAUACAGCUGCAUCAAGCCUCGGAGAUUAAUUCUUGCUUAGAUCGGUCGAACUUUUUUUAUAUCUACGAAUUUAUUGUCUGCUGUUGCUGACUUUCAGCCCCUUCAAGUCCCAACCGGUCCCUUGGGGACAGCUACAAGAAAGUGGAAGAUGUUAUCCUUCCUGUUGCGCCAUUGGAUGAAGGCAGGAAAGCUCUUCCACCAAUUCCCUGUUGCAACCAUGUGCCACCAUGAUCUCAGAACUACAGAAGAUUGCCC
rnacentral:lncRNA from 1 species